rnacentral:rRNA from 1 species
CCUACGGGCGGCUGCAGUGGGGAAUAUUGGACAAUGGGCGAAAGCCUGAUCCAGCCAUGCCGCGUGUGUGAAGAAGGCCUUCGGGUUGUAAAGCACUUUCAGUGGGGAAGAAAGCCUUGGGGCUAAUACCCUCGAGGAAGGACAUCACCCACAGAAGAAGCACCGGCUAACUCCGUGCCAGCAGCCGCGGUAAUACGGAGGGUGCGAGCGUUAAUCGGAAUUACUGGGCGUAAAGCGCGCGUAGGCGGUCUGAUAAGCCGGUUGUGAAAGCCCCGGGCUCAACCUGGGAACGGCAUCCGGAACUGUCAGGCUAGAGUGCAGGAGAGGAAGGCAGAAUGCCCGGAGUAGCGGUGAAAUGCGUAGAGAUCGGGAGGAAUACCAGUGGCGAAGGCGGCCUUCUGGACUGACACUGACGCUGAGGUGCGAAAGCGUGGGUAGCAAACAGGAUUAGAUACCCUGGUAGUC